UCAAGAACCUCUAAGGCAGCCUGGAUUGCUGCUGCAAGAGGCAUUCCAGAUAAUCAAACAGACCUUGAAAGCCAUAACUUGAGGUAAAUGUACUGACACUAGGGCCAGGAAUAGAAAUUGUAUCCAAAGAGAGUUGGAAGAAAAUUGAACUAUACCAUACUUAUGAAGAAAUGAAGUAAAGAACUGUGACCACAUAUCUAGAGAAGUCACAAGCUGUAUAAUCCAAACUUGUAUAAUAAAACUUGUAUAAUCCAAAA